GAGGUUAUUUCUAAGGUCACGGAGUUUUAUUGGCCGGCUUGUAAUGACAACAGCUUUCGGUAUCAGUAGCUCAGUCAAGUGUGACUUAUUAAACUGUAAUAUUCCUUCUCAAAAGAAGGAAUAAUAAAACGUCCUGUUAUCAGUGUUAGUCAUAAAACAAGAUUUUCAACAGCUUAUAAGCUAAGAUAUAGUAAUACAAAAUGACGGAUAGAAUUUAUUUCGUUGUGGUUUUAUUCAUUUGUGUCACAGUUGUACAUGCCUGGGAAUAUUGUACAAAGAACAAUUAUGGAUCAAUAUUUGACGACACAAUGUACUGCGCAACGUCUUGUUGUGGAGAUAAAUAUAAUAGAUACUGCUGUGACAGCAAUACAGGACUCAUCGUAGGUAUUGUGCUUGGUGUAAUUAGUCUUGUUGCAGUGAUAGUGUCAGUGUUGGUGGCUGUAUUCUGUUGCUGUCGAAAAAACAGAGGACAGACGGGACAGGUGUGUCAACCAGUAGGCGUAACAACUACAGUACCGGUGUAUGGUGUGCAGACAACCGCUUUAGGGUAUGGACAAGUUGGAUAUACAAAUGUCGCGUUUCCGCAACAGAUACAGACAACACACAUGCCUGGCCCAGCAGAUAAUUCCCAGAAAUGGCAACAACCUCCAUACAAUACUGCCGUCACAAGCUAAAUCUUAUUCGUUAAAAAUGUAACGUUGGACUUAUUGGCAUAAGUAUUGGAUCAAUUCUGCUAGUCGUUACUGUUGUUACAGUGUUUGUUGUAAUUUGUUGUUGUUGUAAGAAAUCUCGUGGACAGCCAGGACAGGUGUUUCAACCAGCAAGUGUAACAACAACAGGAGUCCCAUUGGAAGGAAGUCAACAUGAUGAGUGACAUUUACAUCUAUCUACAAAGUGACGAUUAAAUUGGAUUAAAUUUAAUUUGGUUAACUAAUCAACUUAAUGUGCCGACCAGUGUGAUGACCGUUGUAUCUUCUCUGAGGUGAGAUUAGUUGUUGUUAUAUUGUGUUGAAAAAUUUUAACUUUCAGAAAUAAAAUGUUUGUAGAAAAUGAUAGACUCUGUAUAUCAACGGAUUACAGUUCCGUGAAAAUUGUUGGAACUGGCAUAAAACAGAAUCGCAUUAUCUAGAUACAUCUGGGAUUAUUUUCAUCAUGAUAAAAUCUUAAUAUCAAAUCCAAGUGAUGUUUAAAUAUUAAUGUACUGAUUAUACACUCAUAGCCUUUUAAAAUCGGUCACGACUAUAACUGUGAUAUUUUUAAUGAUAUUUAAAUUACACGACUGUUUCAUUCCUUAAAAUUUUAAGAUUUGAUUUUGCCUCUCAGUUUCGAUUUCAGCGCAUAUAAAAUCUGGCGAAAUCAACAUCCGUAUAAGUUUUUCGUUUAUUAAUCAUACUAAAUAUUAAUAUUUUUUUCCUGAGAAUUGACAUGAACACGUAGAAAUAUAUUCUUGAUAAAAGCUUAAAAGGAUUUUCAAAUACCCAUCACUUUAAAAUUUACGUCUUGAUUUUACUGUCACUUGAGAUUUCCGCGCAUGUAGAAUCGGGCGAAAUCAAGAUCCGUAUACGUU
rnacentral:misc_RNA from 1 species